AAAGAGUAAGAAACUUUAGUGUGUGUACCUUUUGUAUCAGGGGAAGUUAAAAGUGCAAGUAAUAAAGGGUCGAUUUAAGCAGAGCUUCGUAUAAAAUAGCUAUAGUUAAAUUUAUAGCUUUAAUAGAUUAUGUGGUGAAAAAUGUACGGUGCUUAUGGUAGCUAUUUGUUUUUUUAUUGAGGGGUAAGCUUUCAUUGACUUAAUUGUGUAAAAGGUAUAGGGAAUUAGGCUUGGUAUUUUGACUGUGCUAAGGUAGCAUAAUCAUUUGCUACUUAAUUGGUAGCUGGAAUGAAAGGUUAAACUAGCUUACUUAGUUUGUUGUGUUUUGUAAGAAAUUAAAGUCGAGGUAAGAAUUCUUUGAUCUGCUAGGGGACGAUAAGACCCUAGAAGCUUAACAAUAAGAGUAUCUAUUAGUUAUAAAAAUUAAUUUGUUUUACUGGGGCGGUAAAGGUAUAUGAACUAUUAGCGUAUUGAUAGAUCCUUAAAAUAAAGAUAAAACGGGAAAGUUACUCUAGGGGUAACAGUGCAAUAUUUUUGGAGAGAUCAUAUCGAUAAAAAUGUUUGCAACCUCGAUGUUGAAUUAAGAUGUCUACGUGAAGCAGCAGGUACGUGAGAGGGUUUGUUCAAC
rnacentral:rRNA from 1 species